CUGACUCCGAUGCACUUUCUCAGAUUUAAGGAACUCAAGUUCUUCAAAUCACUAAUGAAUGGCCCAAUUUGAGAUAACUGAGUGCAAUCUUCCAGUAUCAAAAUCUCCAAAUUGAUUGGAGCUCGAAAGUUCAACGACGCAGACUUGCGAAUCUUCAGUGACUGGACUCCAAGACAGAUCGAGAAUGACUAACUUCUUCAAAUGCAUAUUAGCUAGGUCAGAAAUCAAACGGCAUGCUGACCAUUCAAGCCAUCUCAAAUUUGGAAGAAGAUUCUCGGUGUUUCCCUGAAUGUUAGCCCGGUCCAGUCUAAGGUACCUCAAAUUCGACAUUUUAUGAAAUUCUUCACAUGUAAAACAGACGAUGCAACCCUCUUCAACCGCAAGACCUAUACCUUCGACGUUUCUAGUAUCCUGUCAACCUCGAUUGGGGGAAAAAUGUGUGAGUAAUUUGAGAACUUUAAUAUCUUACUCCAUUCAAUGAAAUGGAGCAAAUCAGACUUACAAAAUCAGUGGUAUCCACUACGCAUUAUAAAUUGGGUUAAGAACAAA